rnacentral:lncRNA from 1 species
UAGCCUCCAAACUGUGAGACAAUACAUUUCUGUUGCUUAAGCCACUCAGUUAGUGUGCUUUAUUUUGGCAGUCUUAGCAAACUAAUACAUCCCCCAAUCCAGAACUGUCCUCCUUUGGAUAAUAAAAACAGCAAUAAUUAUAGUGUCAUUACCCUGAGUGACUGGUCCCACUGUUGGUCAUUCUUUGUAGAUGUGAGUUAUUGCCCUAUUGAGAUCAGAAGUCCUCUCACUUAGAGGCAUAUCUAAGACUUUUUUCUUGUGGAGGGAGCUCACUCAACUGUAGGUAAGGUUUGACUCAUCUGGGUUAGUAGUAAGAACAAACUUCCAAGUGGCACCAUCUUAAAGGUGCAAGCCCAUGUGGGCGAUGACCAGGUCUGGUAUAUUAAGAGGCUCUUGGUAGCACAUUAGAAACACCUGGAGAGAUUUUAAAAUUUACAAAGCCUAGCCAAACCCCAGACCCAUUAACCCUGACUCUCUGAGAAUAGGACCCUGGCACCUGUGUUUUAAGGAUUCUAGGUGAUUUCAAUGUGUAGCCAAGGUUCACUGCCAUAGCCUGUCCUGGAAUGCAGGUAACUAAAACUUCAGCAGAUUAUGAAAAACAAAAGUUACUUUCUUGGAUGCAUAUAUUCUUAUAGCCUCAAAACUGAAACUGCAAACUGAACAAUGCUGCAGUCAGAUACACACACAUAUUUCAACUGCAUAACUUCCUUUAAUAAUACUUUUAUUUUUCCAAAUUUGAAGACUGUCCCUAAGUCAUUUCUUCUAAAAGUUAGUAAUAAUCCCACCAACUCACAUUUACAUAGAAGUUACAGUUUAAAGUUUGCAUCUCGUAAUAACUUGGUGAGAUAGGGCAAGCAUUAUUUCUAAUUUGCAUAUGAGAAAAAACUAAGGCUCGGAUGAGUUAUGUGACUUCCCUGAGUCAUGUUAGAGUAACUAACUCCUGAUUUGUAAACUGAAGGUCCCAAAUCCUGGGAACUCCCUCAGCUCUGGGCAAGCCAGGACAGGUAGGUCACCCU